CCUGGCAGUUGAGCCUAUCAGCGAUCAGGUUUACAGAACGCACUUGUUUAAAGUGAGAAGAAGAAGAAGAGCUAGUAGAUGUUAGCUGCACGGAAAAGCAGCAGGAAUUGUUUGCAUUGCAGACUUCCAAAACUAGAGUGAAGAAUUUCUGGAAGUGCUGGCCAACAACAUGUUCCAUACAGCAAUUGAUGUCAUUAUUUCUGGCCCGGAGCUUUGUCUUACCUCUCCAUCACCCAGAACUGUCCGCAGGCAAAACGUCUCCAUUCUGACAGCCAGCGUGACAUCAAAGCCAUCUUCAACAUGAUCAAGUGGCAUCAACACCCCAAUCUGACCCAACCUGAGGACACACAGUGUGCACAGGGGCCAUCUGACUCAACUCUACCCACUUUUUAUAUGUCAUCUGGAGGUGGACGGAUGCUGUGCUGUGAAGGUUCUCAAGCUCCUCUCCCCUUCCCUCCCGCAGGACUAUCAGCCAACUGUCCUGAUGACCAGCCACUUCAUUCCUCAAGUCUGUAGACGGGAGAGUUCAAGGACGUGGUCGGGAAGGACGAUCGAGCCAUUUGUGAACACGAUGAACAAUGUAUCCAGCCAGCAAAAGACUUCACUUCAUAACGAGUGGAACAAAAUCCAAGGACUCCAACCUGAGACCUGGCAGCUUCACACCCAGAAAAUCCUGCCAGCCUCGCAGCAGCAGCAGCCGCCACCAUUACCGCAGGUCACAACUAAAGUUCAUCCUGGACCUGCUGCACAUAUCUCCUGUCCUUGAUCCUUGAGUCGCUGCAGUUGAACCUGAAUUGACCCUACCUGAUGCUGGAAGAGAGUUUCCCAGCCAUGCCUGGUUCCUUCUGCCUAUAAUAACCCAAAUCCCACCUCCAUCACACCGGUCAUAUCACAGAUCAUGUCUGGAUAACAGCCCUGUACACAGAUGGACACGAGGUGUUUUUACCAGAACAGCGUGUCAAGAACACAAUCAUGUCUGACUAAAGCGCACCUCGGGAAGACAUAUUAAAGCUUUACAGUGGCAUAGAGGGCUUUAUGAUGAGCAACAAAGGAGGAAGUCCAAUAUUGUCGCAUUUAUCUCCAAAUGAAUUUAGCAAUUCUCCUUUUUAUUGUCAACAGGAACAAAAACACAAGUCGGACGCAUUGUAGUAAAUACACACAAACUCCAUCAAUUCAUAUAUGUGUAACAGUCAUUGUCUUAUCAUCCGAUUGUUCAGUAAUCCUUUUGAGUCUGAGCACUUGCAUCACAGUAACGGGUUUUUACAGAGGCGGUUUGGCAGCGGUGACUGCAACGGGUUGACAGUGUCUGCGGAGUCCUCUGAAGGAUUACAGUUUUUGUGAUUUCCUUGCAUCAUCAGAGGCCACAGCUCCAUCUGAAAAUAUCUGCAUGUUCUCUGUGGUCUUUUGUCAGCAAAGGGACCGGGGGCUUGAUGUGUACAUUUUGGUCAAAGUUUAGAGGGGUUGCUAGGUGAUAUGACCUAAAAUCCAUAUCAUGAUUUAUUGUUUGACUAUCUCAAUGAUAAAGGCACAUGCUUUGUGGGGGGGAAAAAGCUGUUCAAUAUUCUCAACAGGGAAGUCUGUGUAAAUAUUACUUCCUUAGCCCACUGCCAGCUUAAAGAAGCUCGGGCUACUCUCGGAGAAUAAGGCCUUCAUUUCACUCAACCCUGCUACCUGCCCUGUGCCCCCCUCACCCAGACUGAGAUGAAUAAGAGAUGGAACAAAUAUUUGCAGGAGUUGGUGGGUUCUGCAUUUUCACUCACUACUGCUACUACUUGACCUCAGGUGCUCUAAUAGUGAUGUACAUGCAGUUUGUGACCAUAUAUGUCAUGGAUGUACUAGUGAUAAACACACUAAGCUGUUAUCCAAAGAAAGUUAUUCUAAAUUAUAAGCAUAAUCACAAAAGUAUCCAUGUGGGAAUAAAUACUGAUGUUGUUUAACAGAUGUUUGCACCUUUUCUCUAAAUCGUCCUUGUUUGAAUUUGUCUGUAUAAAAUAAAGUUCAAUAUGAAUUAAAA